UGGGGAAUAUUGGACAAUGGGCGCAAGCCUGAUCCAGCCAUGCCGCGUGAGUGAUGAAGGCCCUAGGGUUGUAAAGCUCUUUCACCGGUGAAGAUAAUGACGGUAACCGGAGAAGAAGCCCCGGCUAACUUCGUGCCAGCAGCCGCGGUAAUACGAAGGGGGCUAGCGUUGUUCGGAAUUACUGGGCGUAAAGCGCACGUAGGCGGGUAUUUAAGUCAGGGGUGAAAUCCCGGAGCUCAACUCCGGAACUGCCUUUGAUACUGGGUACCUAGAGUAUGGAAGAGGUAAGUGGAAUUCCGAGUGUAGAGGUGAAAUUCGUAGAUAUUCGGAGGAACACCAGUGGCGAAGGCGGCUUACUAGUCCAUUACUGACGCUGAGGUGCGAAAGCGUAGGGAGCUAACA
rnacentral:rRNA from 1 species